UGCAAAUGAUGUUUUUCUCACGGUGGUCUUCCUAGCCUGUAAGGCACUGACGAUGCUGCCCUUUGGCAAAACUGAUGCAAAUUA